ensembl:lncRNA
GUCCUGAGCUCCAGAAGAUAAAGCAGAAGUGAACAACAGAAAGAGGGCCUCUCUUAGGCUCCUUGAUGAAAAUUGAAGCCCACUGGCAAAGUGAAGAGAAUCUCUGCAAUAAAGGCACACCAGACCACCAUGCUUGCAACUGGAGUAGAGUGCUGUCUACAGGGAGCCACUUGAUGUGUGCCAACUCCAGCACCCCUCAGCCUUACAUCGAUGCUGGAAGACUUGAGCAGCACCAAAGAGAUGGAGUUUCCAAAUUUUAUGGGAGAGAGGAUUUCAGUGACCAAACCUGAACGCCAUGCUCACUCUUGCUGAGGGGACUGGUCAGAUCUUUUCAGAGUUUUUGGCAGGAGAAGUCCUUGAGAAGCAAGUGUGGACAAGAGGAAAUGACUGACAAACGCAGCACAGGAAUCGUCAAAACAGCACAGAAAUCUGGCUUUGGAAAAAACCGAGAUUCUUUAGAGUAACUG